rnacentral:rRNA from 1 species
UACAGAGGUGCCGAGCGUUAGGCGGAAUCACGGGGCUUAAAGCGUGUGUAGGCGGAUGCCUAAGUACCUUGUGAAAUCCCACAGCUCAACUGUGGAACUGCUUGGUAUACUGGGUGUCUUGAGCCACUUAGGGGUUACCGGAACAAAUGGUGGAGCGGUGAAAUGCGUAGAUAUCAUUUGGAACGCCAAUGGUGAAAACAGGUAACUGGGAGUGUGCUGACGCUGAGACACGAAAGCCAGGGGAGCGAACGGG